GACGAAGAACGCAGCGAAAUGCGAUACUUGGUGUGAAUUGCAGAAUCCCGUGAACCAUCGAGUCUUUGAACGCAAGUUGCGCCCGAAGCCAUUAGGCCGAGGGCACGCCUGCCUGGGCGUCACACGUCGUUGCCCCCCCAUCUACUCCUUCGGGAUUGCGGGGGGCGGAUGAUGGCCUCCCGUGCGCCUCGUCGCGCGGUUGGCCUAAAUGCCAAGUCCUCGGCGACGCACGCCACGACAAUCGGUGGUUGCGAAACCUCGGUUGCCUGUCGUGUGCGGUCGUCGCGCAUCGAGGGCUCGAAAAAAUUGCCGGGCUUCGGCUCGACUUUCAACGCGACCCCAGGUCAGGCGGGGUUACCCGCUGAAUUUAAGCAUAUCAAUAAGCGGAGGA
rnacentral:misc_RNA from 1 species